GGAUAAUCUGCCCUCAGGUAAGGAAUAAUCCCGGGAAACUGGGGCUAAUGCCUCAUAGGAGACGGGUGCUGGAAUGCUCUGUCUCCGAAAGGUCCGCCGCCUGAGGAUGAGUCUGCGUCCGAUUAGGUUGUUGUUGGGGUAACGGCCCAACAAGCCUUUGAUCGGUACGGGUUGUGGGAGCAAGAGCCCGGAGAUGGAUUCUGAGACAUGAAUCCAGGCCCUACGGGGCGCAGCAGGCGCGAAAACUUUACAAUGCGAGCAAUCGUGAUAAGGAAACCCUGAGUGCCUGUCAAUGCAGGCUGUUCUGGUGUCUAACACACACCAGGAGAAAGGGCGGGGCAAGACCGGUGCCAGCCGCCGCGGUAAUACCGGCUGCUCGAGUGAUAGCCACUUUUACUGGGCUUAAAGCGUUCGUAGCUUGGUCGUUAAGUCUCUGGGGAAAUCUUUUGGCUCAACCAAAAGGCGUCUCAGGGAAACUGACGAUCUUGGAACCGGGAGAGGUAAGACGUACUUCGGGGGUAGGAGUGAAUCUUGUAAUCCCCGAGGGACGACCGAUGGCGAAGGCAUCUUACCAGAACGGCUUCGACAGUGAGGGACGAAAGCUGGGGGAGCAAACCGGAUUAGAUACCCGGGUAGUCCCAGCCGUAAACGAUGUGCGUUAGGUGUGUCAGUGACCACGAGUCGCUGAAGUGCCGAAGGGAAACCGUGAAACGCACCGCCUGGGAAGUACGGUCGCAAGGCUGAAACUUAA
rnacentral:rRNA from 1 species